rnacentral:rRNA from 1 species
GCCUGACGGAGCAAGACCGCGUGGGGGAGGAAAGCCUUUGGGUUGUAAACCCCUUUUCUCAGGGAAGAAGAAAGUGACGGUACCUGAGGAAUCAGCCUCGGCUAACUCCGUGCCAGCAGCCGCGGUAAUACGGAGGAGGCAAGCGUUAUCCGGAAUGAUUGGGCGUAAAGCGUUCGUAGGUGGCAAUUCAAGUCUGCUGUCAAAGACAGUAGCUCAACUACUGCAAGGCAGUGGAAACUGAAUAGCUAGAGUGCGGUAGGGGCAGAGGGAAUUCCCGGUGUAGCGGUGAAAUGCGUAGAGAUCGGGAAGAACACCGGUGGCGAAAGCGCUCUGCUGGGCCGCAACUGACACUGAGGGACGAAAGCUAGGGGAGCGAAUGGGAUUAGAUACCCCAGUAGUC